rnacentral:rRNA from 1 species
GAUGAACGCUGGCGGCGUGCCUAAUACAUGCAGGUCGAGCGAACGGACGAGAAGCUUGCUUCUCUGAUGUUAGCGGCGGACGGGUGAGUAACACGUGGAUAACCUACCUAUAAGACUGGGAUAACUUCGGGAAACCGGAGCUAAUACCGGAUGAUAUUUUGAACCGCAUGGUUCAAAAGUGAAAGACGGUCUUGCUGUCACUUAUAGAUGGAUCCGCGCUGCAUUAGCUAGUUGGUAAGGUAACGGCUUACCAAGGCAACGAUGCAUAGCCGACCUGAUAGGGUGAUCGGCCACACUGGAACUGAGACACGGUCCAGACUCCUACGGGAGGCAGCAGUAGGGAAUCUUCCGCAAUGGGCGAAAGCCUGACGGAGCGACGCCGCGUGUGUGAUGAAGGUCUUCGGAUCGUAAAGCUCUGUUAUUAGGGAAGAACAGAUGUGUACGUAACUGUGCCCAUCUUGACGGUACCUAAUCAGAAAGCCACGGCUAACUACGUG